GGGGAAGUCAAGAUGGCUAACCAGGCACAGCCAGGUGGAUCAUUUCUUACCAAAAGGAUGAGACUUCAGGAAGACUGGCACAUUCUGAGCAGAUCUUUGUGGGGAAGGCAUUGAGAGUGGACAGAGCUUCAGGCACGUCUCAGCAUGCCUCCCUCUCAUGGAAGUUCCCAGGAAGCCCACCAUGUACGUGUCUGUACGUGUCUGUAGAAGAGGAGGAAAUUUUUUUCCGGGAGCCGGCUGAUUACACAAAGAACAAAGAUAUCCCUCUUCUUUCUCUUAUAAAGACAUCAGUCAUCGGAUUUAGAGUCCACCCUAAAUCCAGGAUGACCUCAUCCCAACAUCCAAAAUCAAUAGAGGAAACCAAAGAAAGGAGACACGUGGUCUGAAAUUAAUACAGCUGGUGAAGUCAGACUUAAAGCAGGUUCAUUUAUUUACAGUUGACUUGAAUAACUGAAACAUGGAUUUUAUAAUUAGAAUGUCUUGGAAAAAGCAACCUAAUUUACAGGUGGACACAAAAAGGUAACGUGGGCUUUACUAGUUUUAGUAUUGAGUUGUAUUAUACCCUUGAUUUGGUAAUUCAAGAUGAAAUGGGUGAAACAAAUUAUUUUAAAUGAUCAUUUUCUUCCAAAAAAUUGCAGCAUCUAUUUCAAUUACAAAUUCAUUGAAUCUAAGUAAUCAUCUUUUAAAAUAUUUCUGUACUUUAGUAAGCCUUAUUUAAAGUGAACUAAAUUAUCAUUCAUUCCUAUUGGCAUCUGUUCAUUAUUGUCACCAGCUAUAACAAAUGAACAAAAAUUUUUGUUAGAGAGAGAUGAGAUGUGUUUCUUAUACUGUACAGUGUUAAUAAGAACAUGUUAGUUGUCUUAAAUAUAUACGCCAAAUUGCCAGUGCCUUUAGGGGACAUUCUCUUAAAAACUUCUAUAUUGUAGCAAAUUGUGAAGUCUAUAAUUUGCAUGAGGUAGUAUUUUUUUUACCAAUGUAAAAAACCUAUAUGAUCUUAAAUGUGAAUGCUUUGAUUUAUAUAAAAGUCAUGUGUGGCAUAUGUGUAAGAUAUGCUUACCCAUUUACUUUAUUGACAGUACAUUUUAUGGGCACAUAUAAUGAAAUAUGUAUUACAUAAGCUACUAUAUGAGCAUAAUUAUUAUGAAUUUAUAGAUGUGGAUAAUAAAGUUGGUAAAAAUGGGC
rnacentral:lncRNA from 1 species